AUAAAUAAAAUAAUAACACAACAAUCAGUGCAAGAAAACUACUAAUUAGAAUGCAUGCACCCUCAUUAAAGUCUUUUAUCUCGUUUUUCGGUUUUCGCAUAUUUUUUUAUUAUUCGGCUGCCGCUCAAGUUCCUCUGUUGGCUCCUCGUAUUUCCACCAUGAUGUCGGAAUAAAUUUCCAAAAAACUAUACAAGCGCAUAACUAAAUUAUCACAACUAUUUCCAUUCGCAAUUAUAUUUAUUUCGUACUUCGAAUUAUUCCGAGAAUUUAAUUAAUUAAAAACUCUCAAUUAACAUUAGCCCUCAACCAUAUUUAUUUAGAAGAAGGCCCAAAGUCUCCAAUUUAAUUAGCCCAAACUUUAAUUAAAAGAAAAGAAAAAGGAAGGCCCAAAACAUACACUCUUUCUCCACCAUCGAGCACUACCUCACUCUCAUUUCUCUUCUUCACCAAUUUUCCCCAAAUUGAGAGAUACCCAAAUCGCAAACCCUCAAUUCCGUCGCCAUCCUCAACUCGCCGGAGAUGGUGACUGCCGCUGCCACCGUCGGGUCCCCUGCACCUCGAUUUCCAUCUCCAGAAUCAGCCACCGUCGUCGUCUCCUCCGCGGAAAAACGCCGACGCAGCGAGGGGGGGGUCGGGCAGCCGUUGCUCAGCCGCUGCCGCUGAAAUUCCGCCGUCGCCGCCGUGGUUAAUAAGCCGCUGCUCUUACAGCAGCCCCGAGACACUCCGAUUCGACCCGAAAUCAACCCGAACAUCCCCGCACAACCCCUAACCAGCCCCGAUGACCGAGAGGAGUAGCCCACUGGAUUUUGCAGAUUCAGUUUCUGUCACAAAUUUGCAUAAUGUUUGGUUUCCGAAAGAAGUGCGAAAUUAUGCUAUGAACGGAGGAAUACAGAUUACCUGUAAUUCAAUUGAUUGAGCUCUCGGUUUCUUGAAUUGAAGUUGAGAAGAAUGUGUUUUGUUUUUCUGGCUGCAGAGAAUGAUUAGAAGACAGAAGAAUAAACUGAUGAGAAGUAAAUAAUAUAGUGGGAGGGUGGUUAAAGAUAUGUGAGAGAUUUAGGGGGGUGAGGGGGGAACGGUUUUUUUUUCAACGCGGAGAAGGAGUGGAAUUCGACUUUCUUUUUUUUAAUUAAUUUGGAUUUGUUUGGUAUUUAUUUACGAUCACGGAGAAGGAAAA